rnacentral:rRNA from 1 species
UCGGGAAUUUUGGGCAAUGGGCGAAAGCCUGACCCAGCAACGCCGCGUGAAGGAUGAAAUCCCUCGGGAUGUAAACUUCGCAAGAACAGGAAGAAUAAGUAGGGGACAAUACCCCCUAUGAUGACGGUACCGUUUGUAAGCUCCGGCUAACUCCGUGCCAGCAGCCGCGGUAAUACGGGGGGAGCAAGCGUUGUUCGGAUUUACUGGGCGUAAAGGGCGCGUAGGCGGUCAGCACAAGUCAGUUGUGAAAUCUCCGAGCUUAACUCGGAAAGGUCAACUGAUACUGUGCGACUAGAGUGCAGAAGGGGCAACUGGAAUUCUCGGUGUAGCGGUGAAAUGCGUAGAUAUCGAGAGGAACACCUGCGGCGAAGGCGGGUUGCUGGGCUGACACUGACGCUGAGGCGCGAAAGCUAGGGGAGCGAACGGG